UGGGGAAUAUUGGACAAUGGGCGCAAGCCUGAUCCAGCCAUGCCGCGUGGGUGAAGAAGGCCUUCGGGUUGUAAAGCCCUUUUGUCCGGAAAGAAAAGUUCUGGGUUAAUAGCCCAGGGUCAUGACGGUACCGUAAGAAUAAGCACCGGCUAACUACGUGCCAGCAGCCGCGGUAAUACGUAGGGUGCAAGCGUUAAUCGGAAUUACUGGGCGUAAAGCGUGAGUAGGUGGUUUCUUAAGUCUGCUGUGAAAGCCCCGGGCUCAACCUGGGAAUUGCAGUGGAUACUGGGAAGCUAGAGUGCGGUAGAGGGUAGUGGAAUCCCCGGUGUAGCAGUGAAAUGCGUAGAGAUCGGGAGGAACACCAGUGGCGAAGGCGACUAUCUGGACCAGCACUGACACUGAGGCACGAAAGCGUGGGGAGCAAACA
rnacentral:rRNA from 1 species